rnacentral:rRNA from 1 species
UGGGGAAUAUUGGACAAUGGGCGAAAGCCUGAUCCAGCCAUGCCGCGUGUGUGAAGAAGGUCUUCGGAUUGUAAAGCACUUUAAGUUGGGAGGAAGGGCAUUAACCUAAUACGUUAGUGUUUUGACGUUACCGACAGAAUAAGCACCGGCUAACUCUGUGCCAGCAGCCGCGGUAAUACAGAGGGUGCAAGCGUUAAUCGGAAUUACUGGGCGUAAAGCGCGCGUAGGUGGUUUGUUAAGUUGGAUGUGAAAUCCCCGGGCUCAACCUGGGAACUGCAUUCAAAACUGACUGACUAGAGUAUGGUAGAGGGUGGUGGAAUUUCCUGUGUAGCGGUGAAAUGCGUAGAUAUAGGAAGGAACACCAGUGGCGAAGGCGACCACCUGGACUAAUACUGACACUGAGGUGCGAAAGCGUUGGGAGCAAACA